UACAGAGGUCUCAAGCGUUGUUCGGAAUCACUGGGCGUAAAGGGUGCGUAGGCCGCACGGUAAGUCAGAGGUGAAAUCCCGGAGCUCAACUCCGGAAUGGCCUCCGAUACUGCCGUGCUCGAGGACUGGAGAGGAGUCUGGAAUUCACAGUGGAGCAGUGAAAUGCGUAGAUAUUGUGAGGAACACUAGUGGCGAAGGCGAGACUCUGGACAGUUCCUGACACUGAGACACGAAGGCCAGGGGAGCAAACGGG
rnacentral:rRNA from 1 species